UACAGAGGUGGCAAGCGUUGUUCGGAAUUACUGGGCGUAAAGGGCGCGUAGGCGGUCUUGUAAGUCUUGUGUGAAAUCCCUCGGCUUAACUGAGGAACUGCACGGGAUACUGCAUGACUUGAGAUCGGGAGAGGGAAGCGGAAUUCCGGGUGUAGCGGUGAAAUGCGUAGAUAUCCGGAGGAACACCGGUGGCGAAGGCGGCUUCCUGGACCGACACUGACGCUGAGGAGCGAAAGCGUGGGGAGCGAACAGG
rnacentral:rRNA from 1 species